GAGACUUUACUAAGUGAUCAAAAUUUUCAUACUUUAAUGGUGAAAGAAAAAAACAAAGAAACCCAGCAAUUGUCGAUAACUCCUCUCAACCUAAUUCAAACUUCAUAUUUUCCUCUAUGUAUUGGGAAGGGUACUGUACAUAACCAUAAGCUGACCAAGGCAAAAAAAUACCCAAACAAUUCCAUCCUAUCUCUUGUUCUUUUUUCUGUUUGCAACACUCAAGAACACCUCCGGUGGAAGUGUUGUUUCUCAUUUUCCGGCAAAGCAAGGAGUCACACCAACAUCUUCGUUUCCCAUUUCUUAUGUGUUGACCGAAGCAAACGAACCACCCACUGCCGCCUUUUGUAACCACCGGAAAACCACCAUCCUAAAAUUAUCGGGCAUACAUACAGCCAAGUACCCUCAAAACAUCACCACCCACUGCCUCUAUCGUUUUAUUGGAGCUUCUCCACCGAUAACCACUCGAAAUCGCCACCCACCACCCAUUUCCGGUGAAGAAAUCACCCAACAGCUCCCUCCUCUGUAGUUCUGCUGUUUCUAUUCACCACCACCCCCUCCCUUACCUCCGCUCUCCGUAUCCGUCAAGCAUAAGCCAGGACGAAGCAGCAGAAGGUCGCUAGAUCAACCCCCUGCCGCUCAACGCCGCCAAUAUCCACUAUCAUCGGACUUGUUGCUGCCGACGCCAACCACUCACGACCACCGCCUACCCUCUGUAAUACAAAUAGACCCGGUCAUUCGGUUUAAGGGCAUAAAACGUCACGGAACGACAUUCACGACAAAUUCACUCUCGAGCCUCGUUCACGCUUCAAGGGAGAUCGGUGAACCAGCCUUUAACAGAAGAUUUGUUCAUGGAUUUUCAGGCAAUCUAGUCUCAUUUAGUUUUUGUUAUGUCGGCCUAAUUGUUAUCGCGGAUUUAUGAACAAAUUAAUAUAUGUAUGAACCUUGUAUUCGAACUUUAAACUUGAAUGUAACCGCUAUGUUGUUAUUGUUGUAA